CAGGUCAAAAUAAUUUUAAAUUGAGCAGGGGUGAAGAAAUGAAAACAAGGCUCACUAAAAACAAACCGAGAAGAAAUUAAUAAAGGGUUGUCCAUGCUAGACAGGCCUAGUGAUCUAGCAGAUCAAAGAGCCACAGACUAUGUAAAAUAGUAGGGCAGUAGGUGUCCACAAUGAAUCGUCAUCGUCAGGCAACAACAUUUAAUUUAUAGUUUUAUAUUGUUAGCAAGUCAAAAAGAAAUCUGAUCAUCAAAUUAAUCGCUUUUGUUUUGUCCUCAGUCACGAGAAGAAUCCUAUUGUUGCAGCUGUAACGUCUUCUGUGCACUGCUUCUCCUACAUUUUGAUUUCUUUGAACAACUGAAGGUGUGCGCUUUUUGUCUUCCCUGCAAGAACUUGCCUCUUCUUUAGUCUUUCUCACUUCUCUUACAACUUUUAUUUCUUUAAAUCUUCCCUGCAAGAAUUUGCCUCUGCUUAGUCUGUGUCGAUGGACGGGAAUUGGCAACUUGAAUUGACAACUGAACUUGGACAAGCCAAACGCAGUUGGCUAAUUAGUAUUCAAGUAAAAUCCAAAGAAGAAAAUUUCAAUGAAAUGCUAAACCCAUAUCAUGCUUGAAGCCAAUAAUUGUAGGUUGGAGGUGUGAAGAGAAACAGUAUUAUUAGCAAGUUGUGGUACAAGUCCUGUAUGGGUCCAUUACUGUAUAGGGUAUACUUACUACAGUGGGGCGGGCACCAGAGAGCUCAGAGUCCCCGGCCCUGUCAUGCCGUCCUACAUUCUACCACCUGUAACCCUGAAAUCUCCCUAGUCUGAUCAUCUAUGUCUGUAGCUUUCCAAGCUGUCUACUUAGCUACUAUGCUCUCUCUUAGCUGUCCACGUGAUUCUUCUUUUAAUAAUUCACUGUUUCGCGAGGUAGUUUUUUGUCCAUAUGAUUCCCUUCUUCUAACAUCUGUUCCUUCCCAAUUCUCACAUCCAAAUCCCUCUCCUAUAUUUAUGCCAUCCCCUGGUUCAGGAACUCUAGGGUUUCUUUUUUUUCGUUUUCUUGUCUUUUCUUCCUCACUUUAUACGCUGCUUUUUUCUGGUUAUUUCUUGUUUCGUGUUCUUGUUAGUGAUCUCUCUCUUUACCCGUAAAGAAUUAUCAUUCUUCUCUUUUGAGCCUUCUUCUCUUUUGAGCCUUCAUCAUCUGAUGGCUUUUGAAAAUUUUCUCUUUUCUUUUCUUUCAGCCAGUUUUGUGUGAUCAUUCUUCUACAUCUUCCUCUUUCUGCUGCUGCUGCUGCUUCUUGCUUUGAAGACUUUUUAAACUUUUCUUUUUUCCUUUAUUGAAGACAAUCAUCAAAUCUUUCUGUUCAAGGACAUAAUAUUAUUUGUUCUUCUCAAGUUUUCUCUUUUUUAAUGAAAACAGAACCAUUUUCUAGUUAGGUUCAUCCUCUGGCACUUUCCCAGCGACAAUAGCUGUAGAAUUCACAAGGGAAAAGGUGAAGCUGCCAGCAUGAUCUAGCUUUGGUUAGAGGGAGAAAGAGAAAUAGAGAGAGAAGGUUGAGAUGAGUUGCUAAGUACUAACCCUAGCUAGGUCAUGCUCUGACAGCCUCACUCCUUCCUAUUUGGGAACCCAAUGCAAUAGAUUCCAAGCAUCUUCAAAUCUGAUCGAAAGGUAGGAUGAAUGAGAUCUUUUCUUUGCCAUUCUUUCUUUUAUGAGGCUUUGUUGGCAAGUGCGGAAACUGAAUUAGUCUGAGCCGGUCCCAAUUAUCAAUGGAGUGUUUCUACUUUCUAUGACUGUUGGGACUCUCCCAAUGAAAAUAAAAUUUCAGAGGAUUUAAAAUUGCAAUGGUUGCUUCAGAAGAGUUUCUUACAAUUUGAAUGUACUACUUUUUUAAUUAGUUUGUAAAUAAUGAAAAUUUUAUAAAAAAAUUUAAUAUUCAUUUGGAGCAUUAAAAUGUAUGGUACUUCUCAUGGAAACAUAAUGAUAAUUAUUUCCUGAAUUAAGAGCAGUUAAUCCCAUUUCUUGUGGGAAUGAACACGUGCUCUGAAUAUAGUUAAUGAUUCAUUUAUAUUAAUAAAUAUGAAUUAUGGUUUUUCUA